rnacentral:rRNA from 1 species
GAUGAACGCUGGCGGUAGGCCUAACACAUGCAAGUCGAACGGCAGCACAGAGGAGCUUGCUCCUUGGGUGGCGAGUGGCGGACGGGUGAGGAAUACAUCGGAAUCUACUUUUUCGUGGGGGAUAACGUAGGGAAACUUACGCUAAUACCGCAUACGACCUACGGGUGAAAGCAGGGGACCUUCGGGCCUUGCGCGAUUGAAUGAGCCGAUGUCGGAUUAGCUAGUUGGCGGGGUAAAGGCCCACCAAGGCGACGAUCCGUAGCUGGUCUGAGAGGAUGAUCAGCCACACUGGAACUGAGACACGGUCCAGACUCCUACGGGAGGCAGCAGUGGGGAAUAUUGGACAAUGGGCGCAAGCCUGAUCCAGCCAUACCGCGUGGGUGAAGAAGGCCUUCGGGUUGUAAAGCCCUUUUGUUGGGAAAGAAAUCCAGCCGGCUAAUACCUGGUUGGGAUGACGNACCCAAAGAAUAAGC